AUUGAACGCUGGCGGCAGGCCUAACACAUGCAAGUCGAGCGAGUGGCGGACGGGUGAGUAAUGUCUGGGGAACUGCCUGAUGGAGGGGGAUAACUACUGGAAACGGUAGCUAAUACCGCAUACCAUCAGAUGAACCCAGAGUGGAUUAGCUAGUUGGUGGGGUAAAGGCUCACCAAGGCGACGAUCUCUAGCUGGUCUGAGAGGAUGAUCAGCAACACUGGAACUGAGACACGGUCCAGACUCCUACGGGAGGCAGCAGUGGGGAAUAUUGCACAAUGGGGGCAACCCUGACGCAGCCAUGCCGCGUGAAUGAAGAAGGCCUUCGGGUUGUAAAGUUCUUUCGGUAGCGAGGCGUUAACAACAGAAGAAGCACCGGCUAACUCCGUGCCAGCAGCCGCGGUAAUAG
rnacentral:rRNA from 1 species